AGGCAUGCAGUUGGAAGAGACAGUGAUUCCACAGGCCAGAUGCCAGCAUCAAGCUUGCCAAGAGUGGGAAUGGAAAGAAUGGAAAGAAGGCCCCAAGUAACCAAGGCCAAUGGCCUGCCAUGCCCCUAUCCUGUGCCCAUAAAAAGACUUCAACUGGCAGAGCAACACAAGUGUCUGAGUGUCAAACAGAGAAGCAACUGAGCCAUGGAGACUCUGGAUAGACACAGCUAACCUCAGGUGGUGCAGGUCAGGGAAAGAUCACCUUCCUGCAUCAUCCGCUUUCCACCUCCUAUCCCACUGAGAGCCACUUCUACCACCAAAUAAAGUACUCCGUAUACACUACCUUUCA
rnacentral:lncRNA from 13 species